rnacentral:tRNA from 2 species
GCGAUUGUGGUGAAGUGGCUAACACACCUGAUUGUGGUUCAGGCAUUCGCGGGUUCAAUUCCCGUCAUUCGCCCCA